AGGGGGCCUGCGGAGGGAUCAUUACAAGUGACCCCGGUCUAACCACCGGGAUGUUCAUAACCCUUUGUUGUCCGACUCUGUUGCCUCCGGGGCGACCCUGCCUUCGGGCGGGGGCUCCGGGUGGACACUUCAAACUCUUGCGUAACUUUGCAGUCUGAGUAAACUUAAUUAAUAAAUUAAAACUUUUAACAACGGAUCUCUUGGUUCUGGCAUCGAUGAAGAACGCAGCGAAAUGCGAUAAGUAAUGUGAAUUGCAGAAUUCAGUGAAUCAUCGAAUCUUUGAACGCACAUUGCGCCCCCUGGUAUUCCGGGGGGCAUGCCUGUUCGAGCGUCAUUUCACCACUCAAGCCUCGCUUGGUAUUGGGCAACGCGGUCCGCCGCGUGCCUCAAAUCGACCGGCUGGGUCUUCUGUCCCCUAAGCGUUGUGGAAACUAUUCGCUAAAGGGUGUUCGGGAGGCUACGCCGUAAAACAACCCCAUUUCUAAGGUUGACCUCGGAUCAGGUAGGGAUACCCGCUGAACUUAAGCAUAUCAAGCCGGG
rnacentral:rRNA from 1 species